CGUGUAGGCGGUAUCAUAAGUCAGAUGUGAAAUCCCCGAGCUUAACUUGGGAAUUGCAUUCGAUACUGGUUGGCUAGAGUAUGGGAGAGGAUGGUAGAAUUCCAGGUGUAGCGGUGAAAUGCGUAGAGAUCUGGAGGAAUACCGAUGGCGAAGGCAGCCAUCUGGCCUAAUACUGACACUGAGGUGCGAAAGCAUGGGGAGCAAACAGGAUUAGAUACCCCCGUA
rnacentral:rRNA from 1 species